GCGCCAACCGGCGCAAAUCGCUGUCCUUAUCAUUCGUAAUGAUGGGGUCGGCGGUUCGAUUCCGUCUCGGGGCACCA
rnacentral:tRNA from 1 species